rnacentral:rRNA from 1 species
UACGUAGGGUGCGAGCGUUGUCCGGAUUUACUGGGCGUAAAGGGAGCGUAGGCGGACUUUUAAGUGAGAUGUGAAAUACCCGGGCUCAACUUGGGUGCUGCAUUUCAAACUGGAAGUCUAGAGUGCAGGAGAGGAGAAUGGAAUUCCUAGUGUAGCGGUGAAAUGCGUAGAUAUUAGGAGGAACACCAGUGGCGAAGGCGACUUCCUGGACUGUAACUGACGCUGAGGCGCGAAAGCGUGGGUAGCAAACAGGAUUAGAUACCCGUGUA